GUUUUGCGGCAUCUUCUGCUCUGGUGGCUGCUGCUCCGGCAGCAGUACUGCUUUGCGCCGCCAGUGAUGCGCUGGUAUCAGAUGCGGCGGCGUGAUUGGAUGCCUCCGAUGCUGAUGACGAGGCGGCUGUUGCGCUGGCCGCUGCUGUACUUGCUGACGUUGCAGCGUUUGUCUCAGAUAUUUUUGCUGCGGCUGCCGAUGCGGCUGCCGCCUUUUCCGACGCUGCCGCCGCAGUGGCUGACGCACCUGCAUCACCGGCACUGGAAGCCGCCUGCGUUU
rfam:Salmonella enterica subsp. enterica serovar Typhimurium str. LT2, complete genome.